CCGCCGCCGCCACUACUCUUCUUGGAGAGGGUGUACCACUUAUAACAACUAAACCCGAACCUCAAGCAAACAUAGAGACAAGUCUCCGUGAGGCCCAAGAGUGACCUAACCUUGUAAAGCUCAGGUGAAACCACCAUAGAUCGGAAGCUCUUGGAGACUAGUGACAAAGUCCGAUAGUACGAUCUUGGAACCCGUGCCACGAUCAUCACUAGCAAAUCAUAGGCAAGUGACGACGAUGAUGUGAGCUUCUUCUUCUUCUUCUCCCUAAUACUCGUCGUCGUUGUCUUCCUCUUCCUCGUCGUCGAUACGGAAUCGCCCUUGAUCAACCUCUCCAUUUCGGCUCCUAUUUAGGGGUUGGCGCCGAAACUGCGACCUCCUUCUUCUUCUUCUUCUUCUCGCCUGUUGGUUUGAUUUUUUCAAAGCUGCUGUGUCUACUACUAUUUUGGGUAUGGGUCUUUUGUAUUGGGCUUUAUUAAGCCCACUACCUCUCACUACAAUUUAAAUGCGGAUUUUGGGUUAUAGCAUUUCGUUUUGGGUAUGGGGUCUUUUCUAUUGGGCUUUGUUAAGCACACUAUUUUGGGUAUAGCAUUUCGUUUUUACAAAAGAUGUCUGAAAUUUUAGAAUUUUGGAUCUUUCUACAAUACUAAACCAUUUUAGACUUAAAGCUUCUAUCUUUUACUCUAAACCAAUAAUUUUACAAACAUUUAUAACUAGAUGAUACAUUAUUAAUUCAAGUACCGUUAAAUACAAACAAAACAAAUUGGGGGAGUACCAUUUAAUUUGAGAUUGAAAACAAAAGCUCACCUGAGGCUGAGCAGUAUCUGUUCAUUUGCGAUCACACUUACAUAGCUCUGAUCUGUCCUUCAUAUCUGGCGCAACGUUUCAACGGUAACAUAGUACUUGAGAAGUCCUCUCCAGUUCUCCAAAUUGUGAUUUCAAUAUAUAGUAAGCACGAUUUGAUUUUGAUAAUAUAUGCCUAAUGUGAUGCUUAUUUUUAGCGAUUAUGUGACCCAAAUGAUGAUUUUGGUGUGUGUUGAUUUGGUGUUCUCUUCAGAACCAUGGCUGGUAACACGGAGGGAGAGAAGUUCUACCGGAUAAAUUGGAAGAUGCCAGGCAAAGCUCUAGCGGUAUGGUCUCUGUCUCUUGUUUUUGUAGAAGUCCGGAACUGGGUUUCCACAGGGACUAAAAGCAUAGUAUCAAACCACUCAAGUUUGCCCCAACAAUCUCCAUUGCGUCUUUCAAGGGCUAUCUCGGCACAAUAUAUGGUAUCCCUUUGAAACGGGCGGUGGAUACCGAAAUUGCAAUUCCAGAAAACCAUCAUCUUUCCACCACCGUAACCCGUCAGUUUAACAUAAGAACCAUAACCAUCAAGAGGACUAGGCAACUUAGGUAGGGCUACCAAACCGUUCAAAUCUCUCCAGCUUGUCUUGUCGGAGUCAUACCAUGUCAGAGCUCCGUCUUCAGAAACAGAGUAGAGAACAUUAUCAACCUCGCAGAAAGAACCUGAGCACAUAAUACCCGUGCUUGGAUAUUGUUCAACCAGGUCCCAUCUACAUUGCUUUGAAUCGAAAGCAAACAACCCAUCGAAUAAAGUCACCACAUGGAGCUUUCCGUCGAUAAGAUAAUUGAUUCUGGCGCUAUCAAAACCACCACAGGAAGGGAGAUCCCAAGUUUGGGUGUUUGUGUUGAAUACCUCGAAGGAGCUCUUCCAGGAACCAUCAUCUUGAUGGAAGCGUCGUCCGAGUACAUAUAUCUUGCGAUCAAGGAACCUGGCAGAAAGUUCAGUUAGCUCCACUGGCAUGCGUGGAGGAGACUUACGCCACCUGUGAGUCUUGCAAUCAAGAAUCGAGACCCCAGAGGUGGGCAUGGUUUUAUUUUUAUCUGCUACGCCAAUGUUGUAGAUAUCAGAACCAACCGCCACAAGAUCUGAAUAACACAAACCCAUCAUACGAGGAGAAUCAUCAUCGAGCAUUAAGACUCUAGCCAAAACGUAGCCGCCGCCGCCACUACUCUUCUUGGAGAGGGUGUACCACUUAUAACAACUAAACCCGAACCUCAAGCAAACAUAGAGACAAGUCUCCGUGAGGCCCAAGAGUGACCUAACCUUGUAAAGCUCAGGUGAAACCACCAUAGAUCGGAAGCUCUUGGAGACUAGUGACAAAGUCCGAUAGUACGAUCUUGGAACCCGUGCCACGAUCAUCACUAGCAAAUCAUAGGCAAGUGACGACGAUGAUGUGAGCUUCUUCUUCUUCUUCUCCCUAAUACUCG
rnacentral:lncRNA from 1 species